UACAGAGGGUGCAAGCGUUAUUCGGAGUUACUGGGCGUAAAGAGCACGUAGGCGGUUUGAUAAGUCCGAUGUGAAAUCCCUGGACUCAAUUCAGGAAGUGCAUUGGAUACUGUCAGACUAGAGUAUAGGAGAGGAGAGUGGAAUUCCUGGUGUAGAGGUGAAAUUCGUAGAUAUCAGGAGGAACAACAGAGGCGAAGGCGACUCUCUGGACUAUUACUGACGCUGAGGUGCGAAGGCGUGGGGAGCAAACAGG
rnacentral:rRNA from 1 species